rfam:Vigna angularis cultivar Jingnong 6 scaffold68_8, whole genome shotgun sequence.
GUUGCUUCUUCUGGUGAACUCUCCCUUAUUGUCCGUGGGGAAUGUUCUUGUUUCCGAAGCAUAUAUAAAUAAUUUCUUCUCGAAUAACCAGUUUUAAACAGCGUGGUGUAAUUUUCUUUAAUGUACUACACCAUGCUACCUGUCUGCUGGUACAUUC